rnacentral:lncRNA from 10 species
UCUGAGGAGGAAGUCCCAGAGCAGACUUUGGCUCAACUCUAAGGGUGAGAUCUGUCUGUUUCCCUCUGGUGGUGACUGGCACCGUUUAAAAGAAUCUGCGGAAUUCCUAACCGUGACAGACGCUGAUACUGCUGGGGACACAAGACCCUCUUGGCCAGCGUCAGCUCAAGGCACCUCCUCGCCUGCCGACAGUGCUGUACCCAACAGCUCUGAGAUUUUUAGGAAGCGAAGGGGCAGAAGAAGCGACUCACAAGCUCCUGGAGCCGUGUUGGGAGGGGCCCUCGGGGCCCCUGGAGUGGAGAGACACACCCAGAGGCUUUCCAGCCACCCAGGGAGGAGGCGCGGUGGCUGGGAUUUGGAGACAGCUGUGGAGGGAGCAGCUGGAAUGGCCCCACAGGCUACAGCCCGUGUCGGUGUGGGAUGCGAGGGAGAGGAGCCAGGAUGGCCCCACAUGCUUUCCUUGGCUGCCUGGGCGGGUGCAGCAGCCACCUGAGAGGGCCGUCUGAGGACACGAGGCGGCAUCAGCCUCAUGAGAUCUGGGAUGUGCACGGGACGUCCAUGAAGCCGUCGGAGAUGAUUUGGAGUAGUUUACAAAGGUUAACAAAGUUCAGGGAGUCAGGGACCAGACGUCCUCACUUCCCCCAACCCCAGUCCAGUUGUACAUGUUGUGCACUGCACAAGGGCCCUGGCAGAGGACCAAGUUGGAGUUGAAAUCCAGCCAUGGCAUGGCCCUGUGGG